UUGGUUAAGCUCCGGAUCCGCAUACUCUAUCUUCAGCUCCAACUUCAGGUAGUCGCGUUUGAUUCUGUUGAACCAGAGGUCUUACGCCCAAAAUAGAGUAUUAUAUUACUAGAAUUGCCCGCGCCACUAAAGUUGCACAAAGCAUACCAAAGUGUUACGUUGCAGUUGAAAGAAUUGCAACUUGUACAAAGCAUCAAGCAUGGUCUGUAGCAUCAUCCUCUCACGCUGAAAAUACCGUUCCCCCACAGAACUUGCAAAACAGCCAACUCUGGCAGCGCGAACGGACAGAAGGUGACGUACGUGCCAACCAUGUCGGCCAUACAUCAUCUACGUCGCUCCCAAGGCACGGCCAUUGGUGCAAGCCUGAUGUGGUGUCUACUCAUGCUCCAUGCUAGGUGUUGUAGUUCAGCGUAGGGUCUGCGGAGUACGGACUGCUUCUAAAGGUACGAGCAUGUGGCUCGCUAUAGGCCAUUUGUUGCGGGAGACAUCGUCCUGUGGCGCGACAGUAGACACUGUUUGUCCGCUACAUGAUUGAAGCAACUAUGAACCCAAAAAGCAGAAAUGAACAGCAGUGAAGGCCAAAAGUCUCAAGCUCGGGUGAGGAUGAUGGCAUUGUGCAGCAAACAGCUAAGAUAUAAGCAAAACUCUGCAUUUUGCUAAACAGAUGUCAUCCUUUGCCACAGCCAAAUCCAACACGACCGUCAGCUGUUACAGGUAUAUCGAAUCGACGGCUUUUGCCAGUAGCGAUGACUCAUGAGAAAUUAAAUGGUUGCAAAGCACAAUGUAAAGGGAUUUUCGGAUCCACAUCCGAUG
rnacentral:lncRNA from 1 species